rnacentral:rRNA from 1 species
UACGUAGGGUGCGAGCGUUAAUCGGAAUUACUGGGCGUAAAGCGUGCGCAGGCGGUAAGUUAAGUCUGAUGUGAAAGCCCCGGGCUCAACCUGGGAAUGGCAUUGGAAACUGGCUUGCUGGAGUGUGGCAGAGGGGGGUGGAAUUCCGCGUGUAGCAGUGAAAUGCGUAGAGAUGUGGAGGAACACCGAUGGCGAAGGCAGCCCCCUGGGUCAAAACUGACGCUCAUGCACGAAAGCGUGGGGAGCAAACAGG